rnacentral:rRNA from 1 species
AGUGAACGCUGGCGGUAGGCCUAACACAUGCAAGUCGAACGGCAGCACAGUAAGAGCUUGCUCUUACGGGUGGCGAGUGGCGGACGGGUGAGGAAUACAUCGGCAUCUACUUUUUCGUGGGGGAUAACGUAGGGAAACUUACGCUAAUACAGCAUACGUCCUACGGGUGAAUGCAGGGGAUCUUCGGACCUUGCGCGACUGAAUGAGACGAUGUCGGAUUAGCUAGUUGGCGGGGUAAAGGCCCACCAAGGCGACGAUCCGUAGCUGGUCUGAGAGGAUGAUCAGCCACACUGGAACUGAGACACGGUCCAGACUCCUACGGGAGGCAGCAGUAGGGAAUAUUGGACAAUGGGCGAAAGCCUGAUCCAGCCAUACCGCGUGAGUGAAGAAGGCCUUCGGGUUGUAAAGCCCUUUUGUUGGGAAAGAAAAGCAGCAUGUUAAUACCCCGCUGUUCUGACGGUACCCAAAGAAUAAGCACCGGCUAACUUCGUG